UUCCAGACUCCUACGGGAGGCAGCAGUGGGGAAUAUUGCACAAUGGGGGAAACCCUGAUGCAGCAACGCCGCGUGAGUGAAGAAGUAUUUCGGUAUGUAAAGCUCUAUCAGCAGGGAAGAAAAUGACGGUACCUGACCAAGAAGCCCCGGCUAGCUACGUGCCAGCAGCCGCGGUAAUACGUAGGGGGCAAGCGUUAUCCGGAUUUACUGGGUGUAAAGGGAGCGUAGACGGCAGCGCAAGUCUGGAGUGAAAUGCCGGGGCCCAACCCCGGAACUGCUUUGGAAACUGUGCAGCUCGAGUGCAGGAGAGGUAAGCGGAAUUCCUAGUGUAGCGGUGAAAUGCGUAGAUAUUAGGAGGAACACCAGUGGCGAAGGCGACUUUCUGGACUGUACCUGACGCUGAGGCGCGAAAGCGUGGGUAGCGAACGGGAUUAGAUACCCUUGUAA
rnacentral:rRNA from 1 species